rnacentral:rRNA from 1 species
AUACGUAGGUGGCGAGCGUUAUCCGGAUUUACUGGGUGUAAAGGGCGCGUAGGCGGGGAAGCAAGUCGGAUGUGAAAUCCAUGGGCUCAACUCAUGAACUGCAUUUGAAACUGUUUCUCUUGAGUGCCGGAGAGGUAGACGGAGUUCCUAGUGUAGCGGUGAAAUGCGUAGAUAUUAGGAGGAACACCAGUGGCGAAGGCGGUCUACUGGACGGUAACUGACGCUGAGGCGCGAAAGCGUGGGGAGCAAACAGGAUUAGAUACCCUGGUAGUCCACGCUGUAAACGAUGAAUACUAGGUGUGGGGGGACUGACCCCCUCCGUGCCGCAGUUAACACAAUAAGUAUUCCACCUGGGGAGUACGGCCGCAAGGCUGAAACUCAAAGGAAUUGACGGGG